rnacentral:rRNA from 1 species
UACAGAGGUCUCAAGCGUUGUUCGGAUUCAUUGGGCGUAAAGGGUGUGUAGGUGGCGCGCUAAGUCGGGUGUGAAAUUUCGGAGCUUAACUCCGAAACUGCAUUCGAUACUGGCGUGCUUGAGGACUGGAGAGGAGACUGGAAUUCAUGGUGUAGCAGUGAAAUGCGUAGAGAUCAUGAGGAAGACCAGUGGCGAAGGCGGGUCUCUGGACAGAUCCUGACGCUGAGGCACGAAGGUCAGGGGAGCAAACGGG